rnacentral:rRNA from 2 species
GGAUGCGAUCAUAGCAGCACUAAAGCAUCGGAUCCCAUCAGAACUCCGAAGUUAAGUGUGCUUGGGCGAGAGUAGUACUAGGAUGGGUGACCUCCUCGGAAGUCCUCGUGUUGCAUUCC